ACAGAUGAAACAGACAGACGAACUAUCGCAAGAAGGUGUGGAUACAACAGUACAUUGAGAGCCGAGAAGGAAGGACUGUGCUGGAGUACUAAUUCUGAACAUGGCACUAGGUCUUUCAUGAACCCAAGGAGCUGAUAUAUUUCCAGAAACCCACCCCAUGGUACAUGCUCAGGAUGUUGCUAAGAAGAAUGGAGAUAGUAAGUCUAAAUCAGGAUCUGGCAACGGACAUUCGUGCUCAUCUCCUGCGAGGAUGCGGAGGAAAUCCAGACAAGCCAGGCCUUCUUUUUCGGUGACAGAUGCUAGAAUCAAAGAAUUAUAGACCCAUCAGGUGCUUUGUGCUGCUACUUAUGGGCAGUUUCCUCCUUCCCUCCCCCAUCAGCUAGGUAAUUUGCAUUCACACAGAGGCUUUCUUGGCUUGCCUCUGGAUCCAAAGCAUCAGCAGCUCAGAGACUGUUUUAAAAGGGACAGGUU